rnacentral:rRNA from 1 species
AUUGAACGCUGGCGGCAGGCUUAACACAUGCAAGUCGAGCGGAGAGAGGUAGCUUGCUACUGAUCUUAGCGGCGGACGGGUGAGUAAUGCUUAGGAAUCUGCCUAUUAGUGGGGGACAACAUUUCGAAAGGAAUGCUAAUACCGCAUACGUCCUACGGGAGAAAGCAGGGGAUCUUCGGACCUUGCGCUAAUAGAUGAGCCUAAGUCGGAUUAGCUAGUUGGUGGGGUAAAGGCCUACCAAGGCGACGAUCUGUAGCGGGUCUGAGAGGAUGAUCCGCCACACUGGGACUGAGACACGGCCCAGACUCCUACGGGAGGCAGCAGUGGGGAAUAUUAGACAACGGGCGGAAGCCUGAUCCAGCCAUGCCGCGUGUGUGAAGAAGGCCUUAUGGUUGUAAAGCACUUUAAGCGAGGAGGAGGCUACUUUAGUUAAUACCUAGAGAUAGUGGACGUUACUCGCAGAAUAAGCACCGGCUAGCUCUGUGCCAGCCGCCGCCGUAACAC